rnacentral:misc_RNA from 1 species
AAGACUAUAGACCUGCGGAGUACCUGCGGAGGGAUCAUUAUUGAAUUGACUCGAUAGGUUUGUAGCUGGCCCUCACCGAGGGCAUGUGCACAGCCUGUCUUGACUUUAUUCAUCCACCUGUGCACCUCUUGUAGUCUUUUUGGGGCUGAUGAAUAGUCAACUCAGUCACAAGGCUGGAUGUGAGGACUGGUUAAUCGUCUCUCGGUUGACCUUUCUUCUGUGCUGUGAAGUCUCCCUCAG